UAAACGGUUCUACCCUUCUAUCAUUAUGUAAAGAUAAAGAAUAAUAUAUUGUUUCCUUUGUUGGUGAUGGCGACGAUGGUGAGCUCCGAUAACGGCGACGAUGGUGAGCUCUGACAACAGCGACGAUGGUGAGCACCGAUAAUGGCGACGAUGGUGAGCUCCGACAACGGCGACGAUGGUAACCUCCGACAAUGUCGAUGAGCUCCGUUAAUAGUAACGACGAUGUGGGCAGCGGUGAAUCGUGAGAGUGAUGGCUCAUCUUCUCCCUCCUCUUAUCACUCACUGAUUUCUCCGAUCUUUGUUUUUAUCCAAUGAUCUCACAACUCUAAAAAAAUAGAGGUGAAUCGUUAUGUAGUGCUAAAUAAUGCAAUUUAAAAAUAAAUAUUUCCAGAUUACAUCUCAAAACAUUUAUCACUGUGAGUUUGAUUUUUGUGCUUGGGUUCCCAUUCAAAAAUCUUUAGGGUUUUAGUUUUUGAUUGAGUUUCCCUUCCAAUAAACAAAAUAUCGCUAAUGGUGUAGAGUGAGGACACAAUGAAAAGAAUAGCUCCGUUUCGAAUACUUAAAUUGCAUAUCUGCUUGAAAUCUGAAAUUCUUCUUCUUUACUAGUCAUCUUCUUCUUUUUCAUUUGCAAG